rnacentral:rRNA from 1 species
CAGUCGCCGCGGUAAUACAGAGGGUGCAAGCGUUAAUCGGAAUUACUGGGCGUAAAGCGCGCGUAGGUGGUUUGUUAAGUUGAAUGUGAAAUCCCCGGGCUCAACCUGGGAACUGCAUCCAAAACUGGCAAGCUAGAGUAGGGCAGAGGGUGGUGGAAUUUCCUGUGUAGCGGUGAAAUGCGUAGAUAUAGGAAGGAACACCAGUGGCGAAGGCGACCACCUGGGCUCAUACUGACACUGAGGUGCGAAAGCGUGGGGAGCAAACAGGAUUAGAUACCCGUGUAGUCCCUGUCUCUUAUAC